rnacentral:tRNA from 1 species
AGCAGUGUAGCCUAGUGGAAAGAGCACCAGCCUGGGAGUCAGAGCACCUGGGUUCUAAUCCCAGCUCUGCCA